UAUUUUUUUAUAGAUACGCCUCUGACAAGACAUUUCUCCUUAUUUCCUCCUAAAGAACUACUGAAAGUGAAAUGCAGGUCAAAGCUCAUAAAACAAGGAUGAGACAUCAUCCAUUAAGGAGGACACACAACUCCUGUCAGCUUGCCUCUUAGUAUCUAUCAACUGGAGCCACAUUCUGCUCACACCUCAGGCUUGAGGCUAGAUGCAUGAACUGAGUCUUUGGCUGUCUAAGACCAAUCUUUGAGGAGGAUUCCGUAGCUGAGAGAGAUCUCUGUUUUCAGUUGUUUGAUCGGAUCCAGUAGAGGUUCAAGGACUGGACAACAUUCAUAUUUCUACAAUAAAAUGUAAGCCUUAGAAAUAAGGUAUGGUGGAAAAGAUAAAAUAAAAGGAGAGAAUGAUCUAUGUCAUGGGAUUCCUACUGGGAAGAAAAUCAGGGUGUGAA